rnacentral:rRNA from 1 species
UACGGGGGGAGCAAGCGUUGUUCGGAUUCACUGGGCGUAAAGGGCGCGUAGGCGGCCACCGCAAGUCGACUGUGAAAUCUGCGGGCUUAACCCGGAAAGGUCAGCCGAUACUGCGGGGCUAGAGUGCAGAAGGGGCAACUGGAAUUCUCGGUGUAGCGGUGAAAUGCGUAGAUAUCGAGAGGAACACCUGCGGCGAAGGCGGGUUGCUGGGCUGACACUGACGCUGAGGCGCGAAAGCUAGGGGAGCGAACGGG